GGGGAUGUAGCUCAGCGGGAGAGCGCCUGUCUUGCACACAGGAGGUUGCCGGUUCGAAUCCGGUCAUCUCCACC
rnacentral:tRNA from 1 species